UACGGGGGGGGGCAAGCGUUGUUCGGAAUUACUGGGCGUAAAGGGCUCGUGGUCGGCCAACUAAGUCGGACGUGAAAUCCCUCAGCUUAACUGGGGAACUGCGUCCGAUACUGGAUGGCUUGGAUUCGGGAGAGGGAUGCGGAAUUCCAGGUGUAGCGGUGAAAUGCGUAGAUAUCUGGAGGAACACCGGUGGCGAAGGCGGCAUCCUGGACCGAUAUUGACGCUGAGGAGCGAAAGCCAGGGGAGCAAACGGG
rnacentral:rRNA from 1 species